rnacentral:rRNA from 1 species
AAGUCGAACGAAGUAGCAAUACUUAGUGGCAGACGGGUGAGUAACAUGUAGGUAUCUGCCCUUUGGCCUGGAAUAACACGAGGAAACUUGUGCUAAUACCGGAUAAGUCUUUACGGAGAAAGCUUUAUGCACCAUUGGAUGAGCCUGCACUUGAUUAGUUUGUUGGUGGGGUAAUGGCCUACCAAGACUGUGAUCAAUAGCUGAUUUGAGAGGAUGAUCAGCCACAUUGGGACUGAGACACGGCCCAAACUCCUACGGGAGGCAGCAGUGGGGAAUCUUGCACAAUGGAGGAAACUCUGAUGCAGCGAUGCCGCGUGAGUGAAGAAGGCCCUUGGGUUGUAAAGCUCUUUCGUCGGGGAAGAAAAUGACUGUACCCGAAUAAGAAGGUCCGGCUAACUUCGUGCCAGCAGCCGCGGUAAUACGAAGGGACCUAGCGUAGUUCGGAAUUACUGGGCUUAAAGAGUUCGUAGGUGGUUGAAAUAGUUGGUGGUGAAAUCCCAGAGCUUAACUCUGGAACUGCCAUCAAAACUUUUCAGCUAGAGUAUGAUAGAGGAAAGCAGAAUUUCUAGUGUAGAGGUGAAAUUCGUAGAUAUUAGAAAGAAUACCAAUUUGCGAAGGCAGCUUUCUGGAUCAUAACUGACACUGGAGGAAACGAAAAGCAUGGGUAGCGAAGAGGAUUAAAAUACCCUCCGUAGUCCAUGCCGUAAACGAUGUGUG